UACAGAGGGUCCAAGCGUUAAUCGGAAUCACUGGGCUUAAAGGGUCCGCAGGCGGAUCAGCAAGUGUAUUGUGAAAUCCCACGGCUUAACCGUGGAAUUGCUUUGCAAACUGCUGAUCUUGAGCCCGGCAGGGGUCGUCGGAACGAUAGGUGGAGCGGUGAAAUGCGUAGAUAUCUAUCGGAACGCCAAUGGUGAAGACAGACGACUGGGCCGGCGCUGACGCUCAGGGACGAAAGCAUGGGUAGCGAACGGG
rnacentral:misc_RNA from 1 species